rnacentral:rRNA from 1 species
UGGGGAAUAUUGGACAAUGGGGGGAACCCUGAUCCAGCCAUGCCGCGUGUGUGAAGAAAGCCUUAUGGUUGUAAAGCACUUUAAGCGAGGAGGAGGGUACUGGUAUUAAUACUACCAGGUACUGGACGUUACUCGCAGAAUAAGCACCGGCUAACUCUGUGCCAGCAGCCGCGGUAAUACAGAGGGUGCAAGCGUUAAUCGGAAUUACUGGGCGUAAAGCGCGCGUAGGUGGUUCGUUAAGUUGAAUGUGAAAGCCCCGGGCUCAACCUGGGAACUGCAUCCAAAACUGGCGAGCUAGAGUAGGGCAGGGGGUGGUGGAAUUUCCUGUGUAGCGGUGAAAUGCGUAGAUAUAGGAAGGAACACCAGUGGCGAAGGCGACCACCUGGGCUCAUACUGACACUGAGGUGCGAAAGCGUGGGGAGCAAACAGG